CUACAGUUGUUGAAGCGGCAGGUGGGAGCGAGGUUGGGAAGUGGUCCUGAGGAUGCGAAGCCAAUCAAGGCGCAUUCCUUCUCAGGCACGUCAACUGGGCCGACGUGAUCAGCCGACGGAUGGAGCCGCCGUUCAAACCCGCCCUGAUCGGCGACGACGAUGUGAGUCAGUUUGACACAAAGUUCACGAAGCAGACGCCCGUGGAUAGCCCCGUGGACUCGUCACUCAGCGAGAGCGCACAGCAAGUGU